rnacentral:lncRNA from 1 species
AAAGUGGAGCGGUUGGAGGUGGAGGUAUUUGUCUGUCUGUGACGCUGCAGCUGAGAUGUCCACAACCUUGAGUGAAUUUAUUAACCUGUUUGCCUGCCUUGACAUGAAAACAUCGCAGCCUGAAGUCCAUGAUUUUCAACCAGCAGUCAGUGUGGUUGGAGAAAUGGAAGCAAGAGUAUUGCUGGGUUGGAAAGGCUACCCAGAAUCUGCCAGGAGCUGUGGGUCUUGGUGUUCUCGAGUGUGAGCUAUUGUCCCCACCCUGGGGAUGACUGUGGUGAACCCUUGGAGAUGGGACAAGUGUUCCUAGCACAGGAAGUGCACCAUGAAGAACUGGGCUGCAGUAGCUUGUUAUGCCAAUGGAAACCUUACUAGUGGUGGUGACAAAGUCCAGGACAGAUCUGCAGAGGACAAGAAAGCAUUAAGGUGCAGUUCUCUAAGAGAAAAACCAUCCGGAAGCUCCUCUGCAUCCAGAGCAAAAAACAAAGGGGGUUGCUGCGUCAAUUUCACAGGCAACAAAGUUAAAAUGGAUGCAAGGAAAUACUUCUGUUUAAAGCAUAUAAUCACCCAGAGGAAUUCCCUGCCACAGGAAAUCAUUGAGGCAAAGAGUUGAAGAAGGUCAGAGAGAUAUUUUUGAAGGCUUGGAUGUUUAUAUGAACAAGGAAUACGUACUGUUUACUUCUUCUCACUGGACAAGAAGAUGAGUCAAGUAUCACAGAGAUCAAAGUACGUGCCUACCACGUAAAAACUACAGCCAUAAAUCAGCAAUCUUAAAGGUCCCUUCCAACCCACACCAUUCUAUGCUUCUAUGAUUCUAUAAAAAGGUAACCAUCUCUGCAGUAUGUUUCAUGAUGCACCAGCUGAAAAAGAAUCACAAGCCUGUGUUGAAGAUCACAAGCCUCUGAAAAAGAAUCACAAAGUACAAUAAUAGCUGGAAACAUACAGUUCGGGGAAAAACAG